AAAUGGAUGAACGGAAUGGAUGAAAUAUAUACAUCAUGGUGGAGCCCACAGAGCACCGACCACCAGCCACGGGCUGGUGGCAGGGGGAGUAGCCAAUCCGUUUCCCCCGAGGACGCAGUUCAAGGCCUCAGGUCGGGGGUACCCGAGAAUGCCUCUGUCGACAGGGUGAGGGACUCUCUCCCUGCUCGAUCUACGGCGUAUAAAUAUGACACCGCGCAUUUCGCACCUCAAAGGUGUCCGAACAACGAUUUUAUCGUGCGCCGCUAUUUAUUUCCCUUCCUAUGUCGCUGUAGCGCGCGGGUGGGGCGCAAGAUAGCAGGGACCUUUGGGGAUAUGAUGGAGGGAGAUCUACUCGUAUGGCUCCUCUCCUUCUUCAUCCUCAUCGCUCUGCUCGGUCUUCUCGUCUACCAGCUUAUGUGCUUGGCAGACUUGGAGUUUGACUACAUCAACCCAUAUGAUUCAGCAUCACGGAUAAACAGCGUGAUCUUGCCAGAGUUUGUCACUCAAGGAGUCUUAUGUGCAGUGUUUCUUCUCUCAGGGCACUGGAUUAUGUUUCUGUUCUCUGCACCAAACCUUUAUUACAAUGUGAAACUGUAUACAGCAAGGCAACACUUGAUAGAUGUAACAGAGAUAUUUAACCUUCUCAACAGAGAAAAGAAGCAACGCCUUUUCAAGCUUAUUUAUCUCGUGUUCCUUCUCUUCCUCUCCAUAUUCUGGAUGGUUUGGUCGGCAUUGGAGGAUGAUUGAUCAGUUUCGGUUGAUAUGCAUCUCUUCACCUCCCUGGGUAAUCCAGCUCCAUGGCACUUGCAGUUUGGAGGCAUGCCUGAUUAACGGCCCAGAUCUUGCACGCACCCGCCUAUUUGAGCAGCUUUAAGCACUCUCAAGUAUAAAAUUCCCCAAAUUGGUACCUUGAGGCUAGGAUCUCAUGAUUAUGCAGAUUCAGAAGUAGGAGUUUGUAGAAUUUGAAGUAGGCCUGUCAAGCUUGUCUUGGAUUUCAAUCCCCAUUUCUGAUUUUCCGCUGUUGUAAACAUGUGUUUAUCUAUUUGAUUUUAAGGUGUUUGCUGA